rnacentral:rRNA from 1 species
CCUACGGGUGGCAGCAGUGGGGGAUAUUGCACAAUGGGGGGAACCCUGAUGCAGCGACGCCGCGUGGGCGAUGGAGUGCUUCGGUACGUAAAGCUCUAUCAGCAGGAAAGAAAAUGACGGUACCUGACUAAGAAGCCCCGGCUAACUACGUGCCAGCAGCCGCGGUAAUACGUAGGGGGCAAGCGUUAUCCGGAUUUACUGGGUGUAAAGGGAGCGUAGACGGCAGCGCAAGUCUGGAGUGAAAUGCCGGGGCCCAACCCCGGAACUGCUCGGGAAACUGUGAAGCUGGAGUGCAGGAGAGGUAAGCGGAAGUCCUGGUGUAGCGGUGAAAUGCGUAGAUAUCAGGAGGAACACCGGCGGCGAAGGCGGCUUACUGGACUGUAACUGACGUUGAGGCUCGAAGGCGUGGGGAGCAAACAGGAUUAGAUACCCGAGUAGUC